rnacentral:rRNA from 1 species
AUUGAACGCUGGCGGCAUGCCUUACACAUGCAAGUCGAACGGCAGCACGGGAGCAAUCCUGGUGGCGAGUGGCGAACGGGUGAGUAAUGCAUCGGAACGUGCCAUUGAGUGGGGGAUAACGUAGCGAAAGUUACGCUAAUACCGCAUAUUCUGUGCGCAGGAAAGCAGGGGAUCGCAAGACCUUGCGCUCUUUGAGCGGCCGAUGUCAGAUUAGCUAGUUGGUGAGGUAAAGGCUCACCAAGGCGACGAUCUGUAGCGGGUCUGAGAGGAUGAUCCGCCACACUGGGACUGAGACACGGCCCAGACUCCUACGGGAGGCAGCAGUGGGGAAUUUUGGACAAUGGGGGCAACCCUGAUCCAGCCAUGCCGCGUGAGUGAAGAAGGCCUUGGGUUGUAAAGCUCUUUCGGCCGGGAAGAAAUCGCACAGGUUAAUACCCUCGUGUGGAUGACGGUACCGGACUAAGAAGCACCGGCUAACUACGUG